rnacentral:rRNA from 1 species
AGUGCUUGCACUCUGUGAAACAAGAUACAGGCUAGCGGCGGACGGGUGAGUAACACGUGGGUAACCUGCCUAAGAGAUCGGGAUAACACCUGGAAACAGAUGCUAAUACCGGAUAACAACAGAUGAUGCCUAUCAACUGUUUAAAAGAUGGUUCUGCUAUCACUCUUGGAUGGACCUGCGGUGCAUUAGCUAGUUGGUAGGGUAACGGCCUACCAAGGCGAUGAUGCAUAGCCGAGUUGAGAGACUGAUCGGCCACAUUGGGACUGAGACACGGCCCAAACUCCUACGGGAGGCAGCAGUAGGGAAUCUUCCACAAUGGACGCAAGUCUGAUGGAGCAACGCCGCGUGAGUGAAGAAGGGUUUCGGCUCGUAAAGCUCUGUUGUUGGUGAAGAAGGACAGGGGUAGUAACUGACCUUUGUUUGACGGUAAUCAAUUAGAAAGUCACGGCUAACUACGUGCCAGCAGCCGCGGUAAUACGUAGGUGGCAAGCGUUGUUCGGAUUUAUUGGGCGUAAAGCGAGUGCAGGCGGCUCGAUAAGUCUGAUGUGAAAGCCUUCGGCUCAACCGGAGAAUUGCAUCAGAAACUGUCGAGCUUGAGUACAGAAGAGGAGAGUGGAACUCCAUGUGUAGCGGUGAAAUGCGUAGAUAUAUGGAAGAACACCGGUGGCGAAGGCGGCUCUCUGGUCUGUUACUGA